GCACUUGUAGCUUCUUUGUGAUAUAGUGUCUCUAAGCUUUCAACUGGUAUCUCUUCCUCUGCCUCCAUUUCAUUGGUCCUUUCCUUAUUUUUGAUUUUACUUAGAAUCCUUUUUGCCUCCUUGGUCAAUCCAGUGGGACGCCAAGCUUCUGCAAGAAGCAAGAAGGUGGAUUUCUGAGGGUGGACUCCAAAUGCUUUCAUGAUUUGGAGUAUUUCUUCAGCUCUCCAUGGUUGCUUGGCUUCGUUGUAUCCCCACAUUAGGGUCUCAAAAGUCUUCAAAUUGGGAGAAACCCCAUGUUCACACAUCUUGUCAAUUAACUAAAAAGCUGCAUCUAUGCUUUUACGUUUGCAUUCCUCUGUACAAGAAAAAUUUUCCCCUUUAGCUUCUAAAUGAAGCCGUGUUUUAAAACUCACAGCUCAGUAUUGUUUAUGUUAAGUUUUCUACCCCGAAUAUUUUCAUAGUCACGUUUUCAAGGGAAAAAGCCGGCCUUUUAUUUGCACAACUAAACGUUUUUUCGAAGACAGAAAAAGUAAAUCAGGAUGUUUAUAACGUGGGAUGGCAGAAACAAUGCGCAUUUUUGGUACAGAAAAUAUCAGCAGAUACAUGGGCUGGGAUGGCGAUGGGACUGGUUUUCACUUGCAUAAAGAAAAAAAAGGUUAAAAAUGAGAAAUUCCCUUUUCUAUGUACAACAUAUUGACUGUAAUUUCCUUCAACUUUUUUUUUUUUCUAAUGAUGAAGAGUAUGAAUGUAGCUGCAUCAAGAAGCAGAUUUUGCAUAGCUUCUCAGUUCAGGAACACCACUGUACAUGAAUUUGCAAGCUGACUGUACAUACCGACCUGCCCUAGAGGCUGCUUUUGGCAAAUAAUUGGCAACCUUGCUCCAGAUUUACAGGAAUGAGAAAGGUACAUGGAUGUUGUAGCAAACCACGAGCACUCCAAAGAAGAAUCAGCAUCUCUUAACAGCAUUCGACCUUUUUUAAGAGCUGCAGCUGACCCUUUUUUAUCGCUGCUAACUACAUUUGGUAUCUGUAAAAGAUUAGGAUAGGAGGCACUUGUAGCUUCUUUGUGAUAUAGUGUCUCUAAGCUUUCAACUGGUAUCUCUUCCUCUGCCUCCAUUUCAUUGGUCCUUUCCUUAUUUUUGAUUUUACUUAGAAUCCUUUUUGCCUCCUUGGUCAAUCCAGUGGGACGCCAAGCUUCUGCAAGAAGCAAGAAGGUGGAUUUCUGAGGGUGGACUCCAAAUGCUUUCAUGAUUUGGAGUAUUUCUUCAGCUCUCCAUGGUUGCCUGGCUUCGCUGUAUCCCCACAUUAGGGUCUCAAAAGUCUUCAAAUUGGGAGAAACCCCAUGUUCACACAUCUUGUCGAA
rnacentral:lncRNA from 1 species